UUUAACUUUUUUUAACGUUUGAUCAUUUAUCUUAUUUGAAAAAAUUUUAUGAUUUGUAUUUUUAUUGUUAUUAGAUGAGAAGGCAUGAAUAACACUUUAAACGUGACUAUUUUUUUAUUUUUUUAUAAUUUUUUAAAUAAGACGUACGGUCAAACAUUGAAUACGGAGACCCACAACUACCCUGAAA
rnacentral:pre_miRNA from 1 species